UACAGAGGGUGCAAGCGUUAUCCGGAUUUACUGGGUUUAAAGGGUGCGUAGGUGGGUUGGGAAGUCAGUGGUGAAAUACUUUCGCUUAACGAAGGAACUGCCAUUGAUACUAUCAAUCUUGAAUGUAGUGGAGGUAGGCGGAAUGCGUCAUGUAGCGGUGAAAUGCUUAGAUAUGACGCAGAACACCAAUUGCGAAGGCAGCUUGCUACACUACUAUUGACACUGAGGCACGAAAGCGUGGGGAUCAAACAGG
rnacentral:rRNA from 1 species